AUUGAACGCUGGCGGCAUGCCUAACACAUGCAAGUCGAACGGCAGCACAGCAGUAGCAAUACUGUGGGUGGCGAGUGGCGGACGGGUGAGGAAUACGUCGGAAUCUGCCCAGUCGUGGGGGAUAACUAGCCGAAAGGUUAGCUAAUACCGCAUACGACCGAGAGGUGAAAGCGGGGGACCGCAAGGCCUCGCGCGAUUGGAUGAGCCGACGUCGGAUUAGCUAGUUGGCGGGGUAAAGGCCCACCAAGGCGACGAUCCGUAGCUGGUCUGAGAGGAUGAUCAGCCACACUGGAACUGAGACACGGUCCAGACUCCUACGGGAGGCAGCAGUGGGGAAUAUUGGACAAUGGGCGCAAGCCUGAUCCAGCAAUGCCGCGUGUGUGAAGAAGGCCUUCGGGUUGUAAAGUCACUUUAUCUAGGAACGAAAGACGUUGGAUUAAUACUACUGACGU
rnacentral:rRNA from 1 species